UUUUUAUUAUGGUUUUCCCAAUGUUUCAACAAUUUUUACGACAAAGGAGAGGAAAGCACCUAGUCUCACAAUGAUGAGACUUAGAUAAUUGAUGUAAUGCUCUUUUUAAGUAGAUCAAACCAAAGAUGUUGGCUUGCCACACAAUAACUGACUUUGCUUUUAAAACAGGAGCAAAAAUGUAAAAGUUUCUCAGGUAGCUGAUUAUAUUCAGGGAAACCUGAAUAAGAGACUCUUUAUAUUCUAAUACAACUUCUGACAAUGAUUUCUUUUCAGCAGCACUGAGGGUGGUUCCCUUAUGCAGUUUUUUUUUUUUUUGGCUAUUGUAUACUAACAUGAUAGAAUGUUUUGAUGAAAAACAGGACCCAGUAGAAUUAAGCAAAGAAGAAAAAUGUACUGAAAUUUUUACAAAUCAGUAUUAAAAUAUUUUGGUAGUUUGUUUCAAUACUUAAUCUUUAAGUCUUUCUAAUUGUGUUUAUCCACACAGAUCAGAUUUAUCACAGAUCUUUAUUUUUUCCAUUAUAUUAGAUUUUGCUUCUGUUGAAUAAAAUAAACUUAUGAUGAAAAGUCUUAUAAAAAAACAUGUCUUUUGUUACCUUUGCAAAAUCAAGACUCCGAAUCCAGUCUAAUCUGUCUCCUCCCAAGCAAAAAAUCUUGGGGAAAAAGCUGAAAUGCUAUUACCUGAAAAUUUAUGUAAGAUUGUACAUUUACUUUCCAACCAGUCUGAAGGCUGAGGAGUUUGCAAGGAAAGCAAGAAAAAGUUAAAAUGUCUAAACAAAAGCCUGACUGGCUCCAAAUCUAGUUGCUUAAUCACCAGGGCCCAAGUGGGCAGUAAGAGACAUCUGUGGGGUUGAAAGCAGCAGAACUUACAAACUUCAAACAUGUGUUUCCCAAUCAUCUCUUCUGUCUCCCCAGAGGGAUAAAAAUAAAGCAACAUUAGUUAAAUCUUGAGGAGUGAGUAGUCACCUUAGAAUUAGGUCAAAAAAAUGAAAGGUAAAAUCAAAUUAGCCAUUUCUUUAUCUUAUUCAUUGAAUAUUCAGAGUUUGAGGAGAGAAACUGGAGUGCCUGAUUGAUAUGCAACUUUCAGUUAACUACAGGCUUCAUUUAUACUUGAUAUUCUGGCCUGAUUCAUUCUGAUAAGUUGACACAUUCCAAUAGGGUUGCUUGUGAUAAAGGUUAACGCAUUGCCCUUUAUGCUUAUUAUGCUUUCUCUACAAAGACAUAUUCAAUAAAUAUUUAUAUUAAUUUAUCUUUUUGUUUUGAGACAGUUUAUAGGGUCAUAUGAAUGGAGUCAGGAGAUCUAUGUUUGAAGCUUGGCUCCACUUACUACUUGUGUGACCUUGAGUAGGCUAUGAAUUUUAGUAUACUCAACUUUAAAACAGAUGGUGGUGAUAAUAGCAACUCUGUCAUUAAGAUAAACCUCAAGUUUCUUAUUUGACAAAAUUUAAUAGGUUCUUCUUUGUGUAAAAGAAUUUAAGGGCUAUGUACCAG
rnacentral:lncRNA from 1 species